AUAAAACGUUUUUCGCUUAUAAACUUUACUACAUGCCAUAAUAGAUGUGUCCUUCAUAGUCACUGUUAGUCGAUCAUUUAAGCCAGUGAUUCUCAACCUUUUAUAAUUCACGUACCUUCUGGAAAUGUGUAUUUUCAGGUACUGCCUUUGGGAGUAGGGUUGGAUCCAUGGGUGUGAGCCCCUGACCACGUUGCUUUCUCAGCAUCAUGUAAUCUUUGAGAAGGAGGGUCCUUAAGUUUUAACCCUUGGGGUGGGAUGUUAUAAUUUUGUUUGGGUGAAACGAUCUUCGGGAUGUAUACCCCUUGUUCUCAGUUUUAUCUAUUUCACGCGGGCGCACGUUUCUUUACUUCUUUAUUUCUUUUUUCUCUUCUGUUUUUAUUCUCUUUUUCUGUUCCAGGUUAGAUCAUUGAGAGGUGGUUCGUCGGUAGAGUGGAUGGUCCACGAGGUUUCGGUACAUCACCAACCAUAUGAAUCAACCAAUCAAUUUGUAUUGAAAAUAUCGUUUUAACAUACUUUCUUGGGAUUGGCUUAACGAGAUUUUCAACUGCUUGGACGCGCCAGGUAUCUACCAAUCCCAUUGCAAGGUGCAGACUAGCCAAGUCUAACGUUAAAGGAACGGAAAAAUGGAGUCGGGUUAAUAUACUCUAUUAAAAUGUUAAAGAAAAACGUUUCUUUGAAUUUAAUAUCUUCUUAUUAAUACUGCUAUAUUUAAGGAAGAAAUCUUAAUAAUUUGAUAUCAUUAUUUGUGAUACUACAGUGUCGAUAGGGAUAGAAAUAUCAAGAGAUUUUAGAAGAUUUAGUGUUUCUUAUAUGAAAUUAAUAUUCCCUCACCAAAUGUGGAAAAUGGUAAUAUGUUUCGGUCUUGGAGUCUAUACCGGUUUAUAUCUAAGUCAGAAUUAUGAGAUUCCAAAAGUAGAUGAUCCAAGUAUGAUACUGGCGAGAUUAAAAGAACUUGCAGAAGAUUAU